rnacentral:lncRNA from 1 species
CAGGAAUGUUCAGAGCCUGUUCCAUUCCCUGGGCUCUUCCACCCAGUGGUUUCAGUUUGUUUUGUUUGUUCUACUGUUACCGCUUGCGCCAUGGGGUAGUGGCUAAUGGAUUUGCUUUCAGUGUUAUCCACAAACACCCCUGGGCAGCUGCUCAGUGGAAUCUGGCUAAAUAAAGGCAAGCCUUUUAGUUCAGUACUGCAGGGAGACAACAGACAGGAUAAACUAAGUGACCACAAUUCCCAGAGUAAGGUCCAUGCUGGUGUUGCUGAAGCUCUGCUCUGCUGCCACUGAGACUGGUUUCAGACAGGUCCGGAUGGCGUUCUGUCGAAUACUCAAGGAGAGAUCAUCUAGAGACCUACAAACCUCUCUCUCUGCGGCUUUCUUCUUCCCCAUGGUCUGCACUGAGAAUUCCAGACUCCUAGGCUUCCCUUGGCUCCCAGUCUUAUUAAACUUCAUUAGACGAUGCCAGAUUAUUAGUUUGUUUUCUAGACUAUGUAGCCCAAGCUGGCUUCAAACUUUCUAUCCUUCUGCCUCAGCCUCCCAAAUGAUGGGAUUACAGACGUGCACUACAACACCGGGCUCAAAUUGCUCUUUUUAAAGCUGUGCUAACUCCCAUUCCUCUGCCAUCCAUGUCUGAGAACACACAUCUCUGCCAACAGUACUUAUUAUCACACUUCUGCAAGAUUCCUCUCUAUCCAAAGGGUGGAAAGGAUUCCCUACAGUCACACCACUUUGCAUUCUCAGAACAGAUUGAGCACAUUUUCCUAGGUUGAUUGAUAAAAUAUUUACUCCUCUAUUCAAAUCUUUUUGGCUGAUCUCCUAUUUGGUUAUGGUUUUAGUCUGUGACAGCUCUCUAGCUCUAGACAUGAAAGCUUUUCAUCUAUCAACUCCUUUUAAUUCACUCCAUCUGGAUUUUUUCCCCUUUGAUAUAUCUGUUUCAAUGAAGCCUUUAAAUUUUGAUGAAGUCAAAAUUUUUAUCUUUUCUUUUGUAUUGUUUUUAUUUGGUGGGGGGGGGACAAGGUUUUGCUAUGUAGCUCAGGUUGACCUUGAACUCCUGUAUCUACACUCCAAAAAUUGAGAUUUUUACUAUCAUGAACCACCAUGCAUGGCUAUAGCUAUAUUUUUCUUAGUUUCUAGGUUUCUACCUGGACUAGAAAGUUUUUCCAAACUUAAAAACUAAAAGGUUCUGGGCCUGGUGCCAUGGCCCUGUAAUUCCUUGUAUUUAGAAAACUAAGUCAGGUUUACAAGAUCAAGGUCAACCUGAGAGACUCAGAGUCUCCCUCAGCGGGAAUGGCAACUAGGAUGUCACUCAGUGAUAGAUGCUUGCCUAGCAUCCAUGAGAUCCCCAGGUUCGAUCUCCUCUAGUAGAUCACUGGGAGAGGGGACCUGCUGUGGGCAGGCAGUGUCUAAGAAACUUCGUCUUUCACAAUCACAAUACUAAGGUAGUCAAGGUCCCAAUAAAGGCUACAGCUGAAGCUGUCCUGUUGCAAGCUCCUCUCCGGCACCAGCUCUCUAGCCCCCCUGAUCAUAGAAUGGCAAUGAGAACACGGGGAUACCAUUAGCAAGAAGGGCUAUCAGGUGAACCCUGGCUGGGUACAUGUGGGAAGAUGUCAGAUAGACUGUACUUCCUGAGUGUGAAGGAACAUGCUAGAGCCUUGCUGGUGGCUCCUGGCUGCCCCUGGCUGGAGCCUAAUGCUGCUCUUUAUCCAAGUCAGAAACCCCAGGAACUGGAAGAAUCUCUCAGCACCCUCAAGAAGGGUCUAGACUGUCCUUGAGCAGAUGAGAGGGUGGGGUAGGAAUGGAGUAGCCAUGUGGAAAGCUGCGGUUCUAUAACCCCCCCCCAAAAAAAAAAAAACAUAUAUGAGGAGUGGGAGGGAGUUACUCUGCAUGGCUGCAUGGAAGCAGUUCCUAAAAGCGGUGGUUUGCUGACUACAGUCCCCAGUGUCAGGAGUUGAGAUGAUGCCACAGGAGCUGGUCAGGGGGACUCCAAAGCUCCCCCACACCCUGCCAAAAUAGUAGCAUCAUGUUUGCUCGCCAGAACUAGAGAAGACUAUUUCAGAAAAUAACACAUACCUUAGACCAGUGCUUCUCAAACUGUGGGUCAUGAGCCCUUUGGGGGCUUGAACAGCCCUUUCACAGGGGUUGGCUAAGGUCACUGGAAAACACAGAUAUUUACAAUUCAUAACAGUAGCAAAAUUGCAGUUAUCAAAUAGCAACAAAAACAAUUUUGUGGUUGGGGGUCACCACAACAUGAGGAACUGUGUUAAAGGGUCGCAGUUAGGAACCACUGCCUUCGACAGUAGAUAGAGAAAGUUAGCCAGAACCAGCAAAGCUCUUCCUCCCUGCUGGCUGGCCUUUAAAGUGCGGAAGGGCACUGUGUGGGCUGCUGGGGAAGCUGUUGUCAGUCUUGCUCUGCUGUGAACCACGGGCCAACCAUAAGGCAAGAUGUGUCCACCUGUACAGUAGUGGCUUAACUGUUUGGGGGAUAACCAAUUGGCCUGUUUGAAUUUGAGGCUUAUUCCGUGGUGGGAUGAGGGGACAAUGGCUGGUACUGUAAGCCUGACCAACAACUCGGGCUUUGAGAGGUCAUAGUUGGGGAAUUAUUACUGUUGUUUAACUAAAUCAACAUAGCGUCAAACUGCCUUCUAAACAGCUAUGCUUAUGCCUAUAGUCAAAGCUACUCCUAACUUUAAUCAGAAACACUUCUUACAAUGAAUGGCAGUGAAUGCAGAGAUUUCUGGAAGCCCAAGAAGCUGAGAAUAACAGCCCUAAACAAGACAUUUACACUCCCUCCUGUGAUGUUCAUGGAGCUUUAAGGGUGUAGAGAGAGGCAGGAAGUAUGUGUAAGAGCUGGGAAACUGCAAGCUGCCUUUCUCGGGACUUGGUAGAACCAUUGCACUUAACUCACACAUGUGGCUACCUGCUCUGGACCCACACAAGACUGGCC